AUUAAAGUUGUUGCAGUUAAAAAGCUCGUAGUUGGACUUGUGUGCGCUGUCCGCGGGUGGCCUGCGCCCAAAAGGGCGUUUCGGUUCGGCCCCGGUGGCGCCUUGAAAUCUGCAGCUGGGGGGACGUUGGCCUUAACUGGUCGGCGACCGCACGCCGGCUGCUCGGUUACUGUGAGAAAAUUAGAGUGUUCAAGGCAGGCAUUGGGUGCAAUUGAAUACAUUAGCAUGGAAUAAUAAAAUAUGGCUCCUGCCGUAUUUUGUUGGUUUUGACCGGUGGGAGUAAUGAUUGAUAGGGACGGUUGGGGGUGCUAGUAUUGAGCGGCCAGAGGUGAAAUUCAUGGAUUCGCUCAAGACUAACUUAUGCGAAAGCAUUCACCAAGGACGUCCUCUUUAAUCAAGAACGAAAGUUGGGGGAUCGAAGACGAUCAGAUACCGUCGUAGUCUCAACCAUAAACUAUGUCGACUUGGGAUCGGCGGUAGUUUUUUCAUUAAGACACUGUCGGGACCACGGGAGAAAUCAAAGUGUCUGGACUCUGGGGGAAGUAUGGUCGCAAGGCUGAAACUUGAAGGAAUUGACGGAAGGGCACCACCAGGAGUGGAGCCUGCGGCUUAAUUUGACCCAACACGGGGAAACUUACCAGGUCCAGAGAUGUAGAGGAUUGACAGAUUGAAGCUCUUUCUUGAUCACUUCGGUGGUGGUGCAUGGCCGUUCUUAGUUGGUGGAGUGAUUUGUCUGGUUAAUUCCGUUAACGGACGAGACCUCAGCCUGCUAGUGUAGUCGGCUGGAUUGCCUUUGGCGAUCCGUGAUUUCGACUUCUUAGAGGGACAAUCGACGCGCAGUCGAUGGAAGUUUGAGGCAAUAACAGGUCUGUGAUGCCCUUAGAUGUUCUGGGCCGCACGCGCGCUACACUGCUGGGCUCAGCGAGUUUUACUUGGCCGAGAGGCCCGGUUAAUCUUGUGAAAUCCCAGCGUGCUUGGGCUCGCCUCCUGCAACUGGAGGCGCCAACGAGGAAUUCCUAGUAGACGCAGGUCAUCAACCUGCAUCGAUUACGUCCCUGCCCUUUGUACACACCGCCCGUCGUUCCAUAAGAGUGAGGCAUCCGGUGAAUUCUCGGGAGAGCCUGGGCGUGGCCAGCAAUGGUCUGCUCGGGUUUGAACUUGCAUAAACUUGGUGCCUAUGAUUAGGGAAAAGUCGUAACAAGGUUUCCGUAGGUGAACCUGCGGAAG
rnacentral:rRNA from 1 species